rnacentral:lncRNA from 1 species
ACGUGUCGUGCGGCGGUGGUAGAUGCCAGCUAAAUGUUGGACCCACCGCCAAGGCGAACUUGACCUAUUUGACUGUGCUAUAUUUCUAUGAAAAUUUUGACAGAAUUUCCCCUUAAAAAUAGACAAAACCAACCUGAAAAAUCAUCAAAACCUCAAAUAGACAUUCAAACCAAAAGUUUUGGAAACCACCACUUCCACUAAUACCACCACAACUAAA